GCCGCGCGGAGGCCAGUGUCUCGCUGGUCCCGCAGUGGAGUACGCGUCGCCGCCUGGACGCCGGGGGGGCUUCCAGAGCCAGUGUGCUGUCUCCCACUCCACCCCCCGGUGAGCAAGGCCCAGGGAGGGCUCACCUGCCAGGAUGACCCCAGUCAGAAGGAGGACCAGAUGCUGACAGGCCAUGGCCAGAGGCAGGGAGGCAGGUGUGAGCACUGAGACAAGUCCUGUCCAGAGGCAGAGUGAUGCUGACGAGCUGCGGGGAGGAUCUGGGCCUCCUCCUGCCUCCUGCCUUGAGCUCUGCCUGCAGAGGGUGAAUGAAUAGUCUAAUCACUGGGGAGCAGUGGCAGGACAGCUAAGAAGGAGGUAUCCUGACCCGCCAUGAGUCCAGAGGCCCAACCACAACCAGACGGAAAGGGGCAAUGCAAACGCUGCACACGCUGGAAAACAAUGGCAGUUUCUUACAAAGUUGAACAUACUCUCCCCAGAGGACCCAGCAAUCCCUCUUGCUGAGAUUUACAGUAGAGAAAUGGAAACGUCUCUUUACCCAGAGACCUGCAGGUGAGUGUCUGUACUGGCUUUACUCAUAAUCACCCAAAAUGGGAAACAAUCCAAACAGCAGCAGGUGAGUGGAUCCACAGACCGUGGCACCUCCAGGCAGUGGGACCCUCCCGGGUGAUGAAAGGAAGGACCCAUUGACACCGGUUGACGACCCCGGUGAAUCCCGCACGCAUGGAGC